rnacentral:rRNA from 1 species
GUCUAUGGUCAUGCCACCCCGAACAAGCCCAGUGUCUGAUCUCAGAAGCUAAGCAGGUUUGGGCCUGGUUAGUACUUGGAUGGGAGACCACCUAGGAAGAUCAGGUGCUUUAGGCA